rnacentral:rRNA from 1 species
AGAGUUUGAUCCUGGCUCAGGAUGAACGCCUAGCGGCAGGCUUAACACAUGCAAGUCGAGGGGCAGCGCGAGGUAGCAAUACUUUGGCGGCGACCGGCGGAAGGGUGCGUAACGCGUGAGCAACAUGCCCGUCACAGGGGGAUAAUCCAUGGAAACGUGGUCUAACACCGCAUAGAUUAUAGAGGUGGCAUCACCAUUAUAAGAAAUUCGCAAGAAGGUGACGGAUUGGCUCGCGUAACAUUAGCCAGUUGGUAGGGUAACGGCCUACCAAAGCGACGAUGUUUAGGGGUCCUGAGAGGGAGGUCCCCCACACUGGAACUGAGACACGGUCCAGACUCCUACGGGAGGCAGCAGUGAGGAAUAUUGGACAAUAGAUGGAAAUCUGAUCCAGCCAUGCCGCGUGCGGGAUGACGGCCCUAUGGGUUGUAAACCGCUUUUGCAGGGGGGCAAUAAGGUCCACGCGUGGACCGACGAGAGUACUCUGUGAAUAAGCAUCGGCUAACUCCGUGCCAGCAGCCGCGGUAAUACGGAGGAUGCAAGCGUUAUCCGGAUUUAUUGGGUUUAAAGGGUGCGUAGGCGGGAAGUCAAGUCUGUGGUGAAAAGUCCGGGCCUAACCUGGAUCGUGCCAUGGAAACUGUCUUUCUUGAAUAGUGGUGCCGUUGGCGGAAUGUGAAGUGUAGCGGUGAAAUGCUUAGAUAUUACACAGAACACCGAUUGCGAAAGCAGCUGACGAACCACCGAUUGACGCUGAUGCACGAAAAGUGCGGGGUAUCGAACAGGAUUAAAUACCCCUGGUAGUUCCGCACAGUAAACGAUGACAACUAGCUGUUGGCGAUAUACGGUUCAGUAGCGUAGCGAAAGCGUUAAGUUGUCCACCUGGGGAGUACGACCGCAAGGUUGAAACUCAAAGGAAUUGACGGGGGCCCGCACAAGCGGAGGAACAUGUGGUUUAAUUCGAUGAUACGCGAGGAACCUUACCCAGGCUCGAACGGUUCAGGAAUAACGUAGAGAUAUGUUAGCGUAGCAAUACGUCUGGACCGAGGUGCUGCAUGGUUGUCGUCAGCUCGUGCCGUGAGGUGUCGGCUUAAGUGCCAUAACGAGCGCAACCCUUGUCGUCAGUUGCCAUCAGGUAGAGCUGGGCACUCUGGCGAGACUGCCACCGUAAGGUGUGAGGAAGGUGGGGAUGACGUCAAAUCAGCACGGCCCUUACGUCUGGGGCGACACACGUGUUACAAUGGCAGGUACAGAGGGUAGCCAGGCGGCGACGCCGCGCGAAUCCGUAAAAACCUGUCUCAGUUCGGACUGGAGUCUGCAACUCGACUCCACGAAGCUGGAUUCGCUAGUAAUCGCGCAUCAGCCAUGGCGCGGUGAAUACGUUCCCGGGCCUUGUACACACCGCCCGUCAAGCCAUGGAAGCCGGGGGUGCCUGAAGUCCGUGACCGUAAGGAGCGGCCUAAGGCAAAACUGGUGACUGGGGCUAAGUCGUAACAAGGUAGCCGUACCGGAAGGUGUGGCUGGAUCACCUCCUUUCU